rnacentral:rRNA from 1 species
UGGUGGAGUGAUUUGUCUGGUUAAUUCCGAUAACGAACGAGACCUUAACCUGCUAAAUAGCCAGGCCGGCUUUGGCCGGUCGCGGGCUUCUUAGAGGGACUGUCGGCGUCUAGUCGACGGAAGUUUGAGGCAAUAACA